UACGUAGGGACCGAGCGUUAUCCGGAUCAUUGGGCGUAAAGAGCUCGUAGGCGGCUUGUCGCGUCGACUGUGAAAACCCGCGGCUCAACUGCGGGCCUGCAGCCGAUACGGCAGGCUAGAGUUCGGUAGGGGAGACUGGAAUUCCUGGUGUAGCGGUGAAUGCGCAGAUAUCAGGAGGAACACCGGUGGCGAAGGCGGGUCUCGUGGGCAGUAACUGACGCUGAGGAGCGAAAGCGUGGGAGCGAACGG
rnacentral:rRNA from 1 species